rnacentral:rRNA from 1 species
UACGAAGGAUUCGAGCGUUAUCCGGAUUUAUUGGGUUUAAAGGGUGCGUAGGUGGACUAAUAAGUCAGUGGUGAAAGCCCGCAGCUUAACUGCGGAACUGCCAUUGAUACUGUUAGUCUUGAGUACAGUUGAGGUGGCGGAAUGUGUCAUGUAGCGGUGAAAUGCUUAGAUAUGACACAGAACACCGAUUGCGAAGGCAGCUCACUAAGCUGUAACUGACACUAGGCACGAAAGUGUGGGUAGCAAACAGG